GACGGACGCUGGCGGCGUGCCUAACACAUGCAAGUGGAGCGACGAACCAGGGCUUGCCCUGGGGCAAAGCCGCGAACGGGUGAGUAACACGUGGGUAACCUGCCCCGAUGACCGGGACAACCCGAGGAAACUCGGGCUAAUACCGGAUGUGCUCCUCACACAUCAGUGUGUGGAGUAAAGGAAGCUUCGGCCUCCGCUUCGGGAGGGGCCCGCGGCCCAUUAGCUAGUUGGUGAGGUAACGGCUCACCAAGGCAACGAUGGGUAGCUGGUCUGAGAGGACGAUCAGCCACACUGGGACUGAGACACGGCCCAGACUCCUACGGGAGGCAGCAGUGGGGAAUCUUGCGCAAUGCGCGAAAGCGUGACGCAGCAACGCCGCGUGGGGGAAGAAGGUUUUCGGAUCGUAAAACUCUGUUGGUAGAGAAGAACGUUGGUGAGAGUGGAAAGCUCAUCAAGUGACGGUAACUACCCAGAAAGGGACGGCUAACUACGUGCCAGCAGCCGCGGUAA
rnacentral:rRNA from 1 species